rnacentral:rRNA from 1 species
UACGAAGGGGACUAGCGUUGUCCGGAAUCACUGGGCGUAAAGGGCGCGUAGGCGGCCUGAUAAGUAGGGGGUGAAAUCCUGCGGCUUAACCGCAGGGCUGCCUUCUAGACUGUCAGGCUAGAGCACUGUAGAGGCAGGUGGAAUUCCGGGUGUAGCGGUGGAAUGCGUAGAGAUCCGGAAGAACACCGGUGGCGAAGGCGGCCUGCUGGGCAGUAGCUGACACUGAGGCGCGACAGCGUGGGGAGCAAACAGG